AGUCAUUUGAUGCUACCUGUCUUUCGCCUUGUGGAAACUGCCUCCUUGUAUUUUGAUGGGAAACACUUCAGCUGUGUGGAGGACCCUGCCAGCUAUCCUCUUCUUCCUUGUGGGAUUAGUUUUCUGAUCGUCUAUCUUGAACAUCCUUGCUUUACUGGCACAAGAGGGAAGCAUACUGGGUGUUCACACGUGGUGUCCCUUGGAGAUCUUUGUGCGCUGGAGGCAGGCAACUUGAGAAGGAGAACAAGGAGGACAGAGAGCUCCAAAUAAGCUCCCCAGUGUUGACACGAUCUAAACAGAGAAAAUAACCACUUUCCACCCUAAAAUGCAACAGCAGACCUUCAGCAAAGCCUUGAGUUUGCUUAUACUGCAAGAGGAAGCCACAGCCUGACUCAUGAAAGCCACCUGUCCUAGCUCUCUCCUGACCGGUACGGCUGUCCUCAGCAGCUGUCUUGCACCCUGGGAUGGGGUGCUGGGGUGGCAUGCUGCAAAGAGGGAAGAAGGAAGGCUCGGACCUUGCAUUUAUUUGCAAGCUGCUGUUGUAUUUGGAUAGAGCUCCAGGCAGGAUGCGUCUGCAGUAAAC